GUGUCUUUUUCAGCAGCAUAUAUAAUAAAAUCAAAGUGAUAUAAAGAUUAGCAUGGAUCUUGGGCAAGGAUGGCAAGCAAAUUCAUGAAGCAUUAUAUAUAUAU
rnacentral:snRNA from 1 species